rnacentral:rRNA from 1 species
CCUACGGGUCGCAGCAGUGGGGAAUAUUGCACAAUGGGCGCAAGCCUGAUGCAGCCAUGCCGCGCGUAUGAAGAAGGCCUUCGGGUUGUAAAGUACUUUCAGCGGGGAGGAAGGCGAUAAGGUUAAUAACCUUGUCGAUUGACGUUACCCGCGGAAGAAGCACCGGCUAACUCCGUGCCAGCAACCGCGGUAAUACGGAGGGUGCAAGCGUUAAUCGGAAUUACUGGGCGUAAAGCGCACGCAGGCGGUCUGUCAAGUCGGAUGUGAAAUCCCCGGGCUCAACCUGGGAACUGCAUUCGAACUGGCAGGCUAGAGUCUUGUAGAGGGGGGUAGAAUUCCAUGUGUAGCGGUGAAAUGCGUAGAGAUGUGGAGGAAUACCGGUGGCGAAGGCAGCCCCCUGGACAAAGACUGACGCCCAGGUGCGAAAGCGUGGGGAGCAAACAGGAUUAGAUACCCCGGUAGUC